rnacentral:tRNA from 1 species
GGGGCGGUAGCUCAGCUGGGAGAGCACCACGUUCGCAUCGUGGGGGUCGGGGGUUCGAAUCCCCUCCGCUCCACCA